UUCAAAUUCAUCGAAGCAUCGAUAGUGCAUCAUCGAUGUUUUUCCACCUCUAAAGCUAGCGAAUACGAAAAUAGUUUUUGGCGGGCGUGUUUUUUGCAGCAAUUCAACAAAAAUAAGUUAAUGUGAGAAAUUGUGUGACUUUAUCGUGAAUUUAUUAAGUGGAAGCGGCAUUUUAGCAUUACAUCACGAUUCGUCAAGUAUUUAUUAUGCAUUGCUUGGUCAUUGUAAGCGUCGUCAUUUUGUGGUGCCAUCAUCAUCAAAAAGUUUGCUCAUUUAACAGCGGUGGAGUGCAGCUGUUGUCAAUGUCUUCUGCAAGUGUGGAGCACUUCUGUUAACAAGUUUGUGAACGCACAAAGUCUGGCAACGCUAUGCGUGAGCUCAACAUGGCGCGUGAAAUUUGAACAUGGCCGAGGAAACAACUGGCUGAAUUGACGGGAUUUCCUCUACUAAAGAAGCUGGAUAUCGGCGGCACUAUAUGAUGAAUGAUGAAUAGUAAGUCAACAAAAAGGACCUUCACCAGCUUUUGCACAUCUGAACACAUUUAUCAUUGCCAUUUCCAAGUUUUCAUCCUCCUUAAAUCGCUCAUAUACUAAAGAAUAACAUUUUUUAAAUGAAAUGCAGCAUAAAUUAAA